AGUGAACGCUGGCGGCAGGCCUAACACAUGCAAGUCGAGCGGCAGCGCGGGGGCAACCCUGGCGGCGAGCGGCGGACGGGUGAGGAAUGCGUCGGAAUCUGCCUCCUGGUGGGGGAGGACGGAGGGAAACGUACGCUAAUACCGCAUACGACCUACGGGUGAAAGUGGGGGACCUGCGCGCCUCACGCAGAGAGAUGAGCCGACGCCGGAUUAGCUAGUUGGCGGGGUAAAGGCCCACCAAGGCGACGAUCCGUAGCUGGUGUGAGAGGAUGAUCAGCCACACUGGAACUGAGACACGGUCCAGACUCCUACGGGAGGCAGCAGUGGGGAAUAUUGGACAAUGGGCGCAAGCCUGAUCCAGCCAUGCCGCGUGUGUGAAGAAGGCCUUCGGGUUGUAAAGCACUUUUGUCCGGAAAGAAAAGCUUCCGAUUAAUACUCGGGAGUCAUGACGGUACCGGAAGAAUAAGCACCGGCUAACUUCGUACCAGCCGCCGCGGUAAGAC
rnacentral:rRNA from 1 species